AUUGAACGCUGGCGGCAUGCCUAACCAAUCAAAGUCAACCGACAGACGGGUAACUUGCCCCGUGGACGUCGGCGGAGGACUGGAUAGUAACACGUGGAUUACCUGCCGAUAAGACGGGGAUAACUGCGUUAAUCCGGCAUACAUCCUAAGGAAUAUAGGGGACCGUCGGGUGCCAUCUUGCUAUUCGGGUUUCCGGUCACUGAUUGGUGAGUCCGCGCCGCAUUAGCUAGCUGGUAAGGUAACCGCUUACCAAGGCAAGGAUGCGUAGCCGACCUGAGAGGGUGAUCGGCCACACUGGAAAUGAGACACGGUCCAGACUCCUAAGGGAGGCAGCCGUAGGGAAUCUUCCGCAAUGGGCGAAAGCCUGACGGAGCCACGCCGCGUGGGUGAAGAAGGUCUUCGGAUUGUAAAACUCUGUUAGUCGGGAAGAACAAAUGUGUGAGUAACUCUGCACGUCUUGACGGUAACUAAACAGAAAGCCACGGCUAACUUCGUG
rnacentral:rRNA from 1 species